rnacentral:rRNA from 1 species
UUGUAACACGGACCAAGGAGUCUAGCAUAUGUGCGAGUGUUUGGGUGUUAAACCCGUAACGCGUAAUGAAAGUAAAAUCUGUAGUUUCGGCUGCAGAUGAGGUGAGAGGGCGUAAAAACCCGCAUCAUCAACCGACCAUGCGUCUUUGACAAAAGGUUUGAGUCUGAGCAUAUCUGCUGGGACCCGAAAGAUGGUGAACUAUG